UACGUAGGGUGCAAGCGUUAAUCGGAAUUACUGGGCGUAAAGCGUGCGCAGGCGGUUGUGCAAGACCGAUGUGAAAUCCCCGGGCUUAACCUGGGAAUGGCAUUGGUGACUGCACGGCUAGAGUGUGUCAGAGGGGGGUAGAAUUCCGCGUGUAGCAGUGAAAUGCGUAGAUAUGCGGAGGAACACCGAUGGCGAAGGCAAUCCCCUGGACCUGUACUGACGCUCAUGCACGAAAGCGUGGGGAGCAAACAGG
rnacentral:rRNA from 1 species